UACGUAGGGUGCGAGCGUUGUCCGGAAUUAUUGGGCGUAAAGAGCUCGUAGGCGGUCUGUCGCGUCGAUCGUGAAAACUUGGGGCUUAACCCUGAGCUCGCGGUCGAUACGGGCAUGACUGGGAGUUCGGCAGGGGAGACUGGAAUUCCUGGUGUAGCGGUGAAAUGCGCAGAUAAUCAGGAGGAACACCGAUGGCGAAGGCAGGUCUCUGGGCCACUACUGACGCUGGAGAAAGCGAAAGCGGUGGGGAGCGAACAGG
rnacentral:rRNA from 1 species